rnacentral:miRNA from 1 species
GUUCAACCCUGGGGUUGAAAUUUCAACCCCGCUCGCUGAAGCAGGGUUGAAAUUUCAACCCCGGGGUUGAAC